AUGAGAGUUGGCAACACCCGAAGUCGGUAGUCUAACCGCAAGGAGGACGCCGCCGAAGGUGGGGGUUGAUGAUUAGGGUUAAGUCGUAACAAGGUAGC
rnacentral:rRNA from 1 species